GGGAGGAUGGGAGCACCAGAAAGGCCAGUCAUGAUGUUGAUGACUAAGAAACAGCAGGUCCUUCCAAAGACCAGGGCUUCCUUGUGUUCUUCUGUCAGCUCUGAGGCACAGUGCCGAUAAGAAAGGCCAGGAGACCAGCAAAGAGAGAAAACACCCAGGGCCCAGAGGAAUUCAGGAACAAGUUUCAAGGCAGAACUGGAACAACCAGACUUGGUGAUGCAAAUUCCCGACACUGGAUGAGUCAGGGGAAGGGGCAGGACUUGCACGCAGGCCCCGGACAGUUGAUCCCAGACUUUACAAAAAAGAAAAACAGAAGAUGACCCCUUGCUGAAGCUGGACAGGAGCAAUUGGAGAGCUAGCGGAGUGGAUUCCCCUGUUGCACAAGAGAACAUCAAAGACACUUCUUCUAGAAGCACAUCUUCAUCCAUAACUCCUAUGUUGAAAGAAUAAACCACUGAAGGUUGUCAGGGUGCUUUAACUGAUAAGCUUUCAUCCAUAAGACCAGGUUGACCUAAUUGACUUCCUGUUUUUACAUCACAUGGACCAUCUAUUAAUUGCCAUAAAGAAUGCACAUGUGGGUAAUUCUAAACUACACAUUGGCCCACAUCAUGCCUGGGCCUCAACUUUUUUAGUCACCGGGUAGUGCCUACAGAAGAGAACAUUAAACAUCCUUAGGCUGGCACUUCGUGCUAGCUUCAACCUUCUCCAUCUCCAAACCACUGCUCCUCUCUCACACAACCGAGCUUUCUGUACUCUCCUUUUCUCUAAAUUCCCAUCAGGCUAACUCCUCCCUGACCUUCAAGAUUUAGGCCGUGCCUUAUUUCAUCUUAAAAACAGCUUCCAACACCUCUUGCCCAUCUCCAACCCCCAGUCCCUCUCUGUUCCCCCACUGGCUUGUCCUACAUCUGUUCACAGACCUCAGCACACAUUCUGUCAUGCCUGUCACCCCUGACCAGGACCUUCUCAAGGACUGGCUCCCAGGACUGUAUCCCCAGAACCAAACAUAUAGUCUAGCCCAAGGCAGAGACAUUCAGGAAGGGUCUGAUGGAUGAAAGAGUCUUAAUCAUACUGUUAGCUGACUUUGGGUAGAUUAAAGCUCCAAACAAAGGAAUUUUUUCAUUUUAAGAAAUCACGUCUCAUGGAACUUCAGGAUCAAUUUCAUUUAAUGCCUGAAGCUGUGUCUGCUGACAUCGUUCUUAGUUUAAACUAUGGUUUUAUAAAUAGUCUGCAGGUCUCUAAUCCAUCAAUUCAUAUUGUCCAGCAAGGCGGGGAUCACCACACCCCAAAGCCACGAAUUUCAUGCCUUCCACUGGGUCUGGAACACAGCAACUUGGGAAGCAGAAGGGAGGAACGGUUUCUUCCCUUUCCAGCAGACCUUUCUGAGCUUCUGUGUGUUGUUGAAAUGAGAGACACUGAGAGAUGAAACCACAAACCAAAAGUUACACCCUUGGGUCUGAAAGGUUUGGACAGACACUAGUGUUUCUGGAAAACAAAGAGAAUCCACAAACAUGAGAAUGUAGGGAUGGAUGUUUGCACACAACGGAAGGCACGUUCUAAAAGUGCAUUUGCCAACCGCUUAAUUAAAUGUUUCUCAAUAUUUGAUGAGAAUUCAUAUCAGACACAGGGCUUUGACUGGAGGGAAGGGGCUCACGCGCACUCAGAAGAAGUCUAGCAGAUCCACACUUCCACAGAUGAGCCAAACAAAGCAUAAAAACAAAACUCCAAUGGUCAUUUUCCCUAUACAUCACAUCCUGGUAGAAUUCCCACCUCUUAAGAGGAAACCUCCGUUACCACAUAAGAAAAAAAAAAAAAGUUUUUAAUUUCAUUCCAGUUUUUAAACGAGUCCAAACUAAAACAAAGAUUUUAUGACUCUCUCAGUCUGCCAUGCGGAUUUCCGCCUCUGACAAAUGCCAGGAAUCCUUGUGGCUACUUUAGAUGUUCAAACCAUUUAUUAAGAGUGAGAGAGUGCCAUGUCGGAAACCGGGCUCCAGAAAGGUAGCUGAGGCCACCACUUUGGACUCCAGCCAGAAGAAGACUUCUUGGCAACAAAGUGGGCAGUUUUAGGAACUGCACAAUUGUUUAAACUCUCCUGUGCAGUUCAAGAAAAGUAUUUUCAGUGGCAAGGAGGUGCCAUAGAGCUGCAAAUACAGAUGGAAGUAUUUUUUCCAGAUCAUUAUAUUAUACUGAAAAUGAAAACUAAAACCCAAUAAAAUGCUGCCA